UGAAUACGAGACGCUAAGGCGUCGAAGUAGUGUAUGUCAUACUUCCAAGAAAAGCUUGCACUGUCAUAGAUAAAAAACGCCUGUACCAUAACCGACACAGGUGGGUAGGUAGAGUAUACUAAGGGGCGCGAGAUAACUCUCUCUAAGGAACUCGGCAAAAUAACUCCGUAACUUCGGGAGAAGGAGUGCCUUAUUCGUAAGGUUGCAAUAACAAGAUCCAAGCGACUGUUUAUCAAAAACACAGGUCUCCGCUAAGUCGUAAGACGAUGUAUGGGGGCUGACGCCUGCCCAGUGCCAGAAGGUUAAAGAAGUUGGUUAGCAAUUGCGAAGCUGAUAACUGAAGCCCUGGUAACGGCGGCCGUAACAAUAACGGUCCUAAGGUAGCGAAAUUCCUUGUCGGGUAAGUUCCGACCCGCACGAAAGGCGUAAUGAUUUGGAUACUGUCUCGGAGAGGGGCUCGGUGAAAUAGACUUGUCUGUGAAGAUGCGGACUACCUGCACCAGGACAGAAAGACCCUAUGAAGCUUUACUGUAACUUGAAAUUGAAAUUGGACUUUAUUCGCGCAGUAUAGGUGGAAGGCGUUGAUUAUAAUCUUGUGGGAUUAUUGGAGCCAUCAGUGAGAUACCACUCUUGUAAUGUUAGAUUUCUAACUUUGAAUCAUUAUCUGGUCAAAGAACAGUUUCAGGCGGGCAGUUUGACUGGGGCGGUCGCCUCCUAAACGGUAACGGAGGCGUACAAAGGUUUCCUCUGAACGGUUAGAAAUCGUAUCUAGAGUGUAAAGGCAUAAGGAAGCUUGACUGUGAGACCUACAAGUCGAGCAGGGACGAAAGUCGGUCUUAGUGAUCUGACGGUACUGAGUGGAAAGGCCGUCACUCAACGGAUAAAAGUUACUCUAGGAUAACAGGCUGAUCUCCCCCAAGAGUUCACAUCGACGGGGAGGUUUGGCACCUCGAUGUCGGCUCAUCGCAUCCUGGGGCGGUAGUACGUCCCAAGGGUUGGGCUGUUCGCCCAUGAAAGCGGUACGCGAGCUGGGUUCAGAACGUCGUGAGACAGUUCGGUCCAUAUCCGGUGUAGGCGUUAGAAUAUUGAGAGGAGCCUUCUUUAGUACGAGAGGACCGAGAAGGACAUACCUCUGGUGUACCAGUUAUCGUGCCAACGGUAAACGCUGGGUAGCUAUGUAUGGAGUGGAUAACCGCUGAAAGCAUCUAAGUGGGAAGCCCACCUC
rnacentral:rRNA from 1 species